UUGCAUCUUUGACAGCCUGGUUUCUCUGCUGUGGGAUAUCCUGGGUUUAAUUUGUUCAGAUGCAAUAGAAAAUGUCCCUGCGCUUUCUGUGCACCUCUCAGUGGUGUCUCAGAUUGAAGAAGGGAGAACAAAC